GAUGAGGAGUAUACUAAAAGAAAAUUUAAAGUUGAAGGGAUGACCUGAGAAAACGUCUUAAACAGCAAGAUAAGCUGAAGGGAGACGAGUAUCUAGGUCGGAGAAAGAAGAAAUAGAUCACCGGAGAGGAGAGAACGUCUUAAACAGCUGCUGUGGUGGAGGAUAAAACACCAAGGAAAGCUGAAGGGAGACGAGUAUCACAACCGGGAAAUCAAAGCAGAUCACCAGACAAGUAUAACAUCACAUGCAUUAUCUUAAU
rnacentral:lncRNA from 1 species